GGUGUUAGGAGCUAAAAAUAAUAGCACAUGAUGAUAUAAAAGAGAUCCUUUGAGUGGGGCAGCAUGGAAAGCCUGCAAAUUCUUCCCUUUUGAGCAAGACUGCCUGUCCAAGUAUGGCUUCUACUGUCAUAUACAGAAAACAACUCAAAAUGGAGAGAGAUACUUCAUGGCUUAAUUACUGUGAUCCACACGUUUAUGUAACUGAAAUCUCAGAUCCUGCACCUGUGGGCAAAAGGUAAAAUUUCUUCCAAAGCAGACGUCCACACUGCCCAUGUUCCCCUGAAGAAAUCCUUCCUGGUAUGAAUACAAGACUACAGAAGGCAUGUCUUAAAGAAGGAGAAUGCCUAGGAACUACAAAGCAAUGUCCUAAAUAAUAUCAGGAGUCACCAAUAUAAGCCUGUUAAUAUUUUUUUAAACACGCACCUCCUGCAAAGAAAGCAUUUAAAAAUGAGAAGACAUGUUGUUUGGAGAAAAACACCUUGGAAAAUUAUGUAGCAAUGCCCUCCUCCUCUACCCCAGCAUCCUGCACCAGCCAUCCAAAGUGGCCAAAAAGCCCAAGAUCAAGGUAGCGGCAGAUGCAGUGUUGGUGAAGCCUCGCUCUCAGCUGCAUGGAUACCAUCCCUCUCUGCCAUCCCCUUUGGAGACACAAAAGAAAACCUGCUCAAGCCUUUUUAUACGCACACCACUGUCAUCCGUGAGGAUCCUGCCUCAUCACCUCCAAAAGGCUCCUCCCAUAAAUAUUACUGUGCUUCACAUUAAGUUUCAACGUGAACUUCAGAAGGACACAAGUCUUGCUACCUCUUGCUGAACAUGUUGGAACACCACCUGGAAAAGCCAAAGUAACACACUGAGAUGGUACCAAAAUGAACCAGUCUGUGAAAAAGAAAUCUGAAACUUUUGAGGCUAUGCCUUAAACAUCCCAGUUUUAUGGAAACCAGGAAGGCUUCCCUUUCCUUACAGACAUGGAACUAACUGAAGCUCUUCAGUAAUGACGGUGAACCCCAAUUCCCCUGGAAAAAUGAAGAAAAAGCCCUAGAUACUAUGUAAAUACAACAAAUUGACAGGCUACAGCUAUGCAACACAACACCCUCUCAGGAUGCCUGGCAGCCACCACCACAGGCUGCAGCUCCCAAGAAGCCAGCCACAUAAAGGAAAACACGUCAACAAUAUACUGCAGCCAGUGCUUCGUGCCAAAGGGAUUUGAUAAGGUGCAUGAGAUAUCAGCACUGUGUAUUAUAACACACUCUGUGU